GGGGAUUUGGCUCAGUGGUAGAGCGCUUGCCUAGGAAGCGCAAGGUCCUGGUUCAAUCCCCA
rnacentral:tRNA from 1 species